CUGAGUCACACAGAGCACAUGGGGAAAGAAAACACAACAAAACGUCCAUGUGUGUGACAAUACGGGCUGCUUUCAGUGUGCUUUUUUGUGUUUUUUGUCAUGUUUGGAGCUCAACAGCUGUGAUUACUAUGCACUGUUUUAUAUGCAUUAAGACCUUUUGUGUUCUUGUGUUUGAUUUGGAAUUACAUGGGGUAAUUAGUGACCAAAUUUUUCACAUUUUACUUUUUUUUUUUGAUGAAUUGCCCCUUUAAGCUCUGUAAAAGAUCGAAAAGUUAGAUUUUUUUCAAAUUAAAAACAAGAUUUAUCACCUGUAAGGUGCUAAAGUAUGCAUAAAUGAGUGGAUAUCAUAGCGGUUUUGGCCACAGGAGGGCAAUGAUGACUUAUACUAAGCUUUUACCUCAAGGCCAAGAACAAGUGAUUGGAAGAAUGCACUGUUUUUGUUUUAAGCAUUUGUGUGUGAUCACAAAUGCGAUAUUAAGAGUGUCUGUCUCUGUGCGUCACUGGCCUCUCAAGCAAGAGUUUUAGCACUGCUGUGAAAAGCUCCUUCACACAUCACUCACAUUUAGGGCCCCUACAGUCACUGAACCUUGAAAGCAGCAGGACUAAAGAACACUGCAGAGAAACAGAGAGACACUGAUGUCUCAGGAGCCACGGAGCAUCUCAGACAAGAGACUUUCAAUCACAGUGGUGUUCAGAGAAGGUGAUUAUGAUAAAGGGAGGUUGGAUUUCUUCCACAUCACAAAGAAAUAUACAGAGCCAAAGCAUCAUAAGAUCACGGACCAUUACA